CAAUACUUGCCUUUCUCCUAACUCAUGUGCAACACUUUCUGGUUCCAUUCAAUGUCCAUCAACUGCAUUAAUAUCUUCUGAUAAACUCUUGAAGUGAUGAUGAAAAUUAGAAUUUCUGCUGUUAGUGUAGUCUUACUAUUAUUAACAUUUCUUUCUCUUGAUAUUUUCCAAUAUUUUUUGGGACCUUUAUUAUUGUUUUAUUUUAACUUAGUCACCAAGCUUUCCUUCUCUUUACUCUGCACUCUUUUCUAAUCAGUCUUAUAUUUCUUACUUUUUUCUGUCAUGACUAUAAUUUUCUUCACUCCUUCUUCGAUUAUAUUUACGUCUAGCCUUAUAGUAGGCUUUCCUUGUUUUCCAGCAUUGAUUGUCACACACAAAUAGGCUUACAUUAUUACUUUGUUUAACAAAAUUUUUCCUUUUUUUGGGUGUGAAUACCUUUAUAGGUGGUUCUGACAAUGUGUUCUUUAACCAAGAAUUCACCUCUUCAGCAGACAUAAAAUCCCUCUGCUCUAUUAACUCCUUUACCUCACCUUCAUUAAUUUCUGCUUUAUAAUCAUCUUCCUUUGUUGCACUCCAUUUCCCUGUUAAGCUACAAUUAUUCACAGGUAUAUUACUUCCAUCAUUAUUUCUUUUCUUUUCAAUAUUAACUUUUAGUUGUACAUGUAUACCACAAUGAAUAUCUGAGUACAGCGGAUCAAAAUCUAGUAUUCUAAAUUCCUGUUCAUUUUUCUGAACAGUGUUGGUGAGCCAGUGACAUAAUCCACCAGUGUAGCAUAAGUAGUUGUGGGUUUCCCCACUCUAAGCUCUUCAUCUAGUCUACCAUUAAAUAUACACACAUCAUUAUUACUACAAAUUGUCACCAGGUCAAAGUCCAGAUUCGUCUUCCUCUGGGUCAUCGAUGGACCUAAAACCUGUUAAAACAAUAAGGGUAAAGCGCGUGAAGCAUAUAACACGUGGUAACAGGAAAGAGAAACUACGCCGUGUCACUCGCCACCGCCUCAACCAUUGCGGACCCUGUUAUUGCAACCACCACCACAGAUACGCCUGAUCCUACUGCUGCCACAGCCUCUUUAUCAUUGAAACACAAAAAGCAACCACCCAGCAUUUCCUCAGGUGUUCUUGGAAAGAAAAGGAGUGUGCAAAGUGGACAAGGAAGGAGGCGUAUAAAAAAAAGGUAACAGGCUCCCUCGACACAACCACCACCACCACCAGCUCUGGUGUCACCACCUCCACCGCCGUUACGUAUUUAGUUUCUUGUUUGGAAUAUUUUUUUCCCAUAGAGGAACUGUAAAAUGAAGUAGGUGUAAGAAAAUGCAGUAAAGUUACUGGUUUUUUGCUUCUUGUUGAGGAAGAACUUCUUUUUCUAGAAAAGAAACGCUUAAAGGGUUAAUGUUAGUGCAGCAGGAUUAGCACAUUAUUUCAGGCAUUACAGCACAUCAGCAUUAGCACAGCAUCACAAUUCUGUAACAACAUUAUUUUAGGCAUGACAACAUCACAAGCAGAACAACAUUACAUACAAACGCAAAACAGCAUCACAUAACAGUGAUAAUAAGAUUAAGAUGCUGUGAUGCUGAGGGUCAGAUUAUGAUGUUGUGCUGUUAGGUCUAAGAUAAUAAUGAUGUGAUGUCUAAGAUACCCUGUGAUGCUGUUAGAUCUAAGAUAAUGAGGCUGUAAUGCUGUUAUGUCUAAGAUAAAGAUGAUGUGAUUCUGUUGUCUAAGAAUAACACAACAGCAACACAGCAUCACCACCAGUACCCAGGCAUCAUCACCACACACAUCAGUUUCCCCACAAACCUCACCAUCAGACACACACAACCACCACCAGUACCCAGGCAUCACCAUGCAGCGUCACACUCAAAACAGCAGCAUCACAUUUGAACAGCCCAUGGUGAGGAAUUAAAGCAAGAGGGAAUAUUGCGUAAUAACUGUAAGUACUCGGUAGGUUCCCACGUCACCUGUUCAAAGCAGACGAUUUUUUUUGCUUUUGCUACUUUUUGCUAUUGUGGCAGUAUGUACUUUGUUUAUUUGACAGUUUCAUCAAAUUUAUCUUAUUUUCUGAGUAAUUGCGUUUUUAAUAAUGUUUUAAGUGCAACAGGAACCGAAUUCUUGAGUAAUGAAAGAUGAGGCUACAAGAAGAAGCAGAGGAAAUUCCGAAAUGGACGUCGGUGUGUGUUUUUCCAUCUUAUUUCACCAUUUUAUCCUCAGGAAAUCUCUGCUGGGGAGACUGGUCACUUGAUAGCAACAAGAACUGACGUCAGUUGACCAAGACACCACUAGGAAUUGACAUUAGCUGACCAAGACAGGACCAGAAAUUGACACCCACUUGCCACAAUAUCAGCUCCAACACCUACCCAAUCAGCAGUGCAGCAUGGGUCACCUACAGGGUUGGCUGUGGUGUGUCCCUCAUUGUGUACACAUCAUACUCUGCCACACUGGUCUCACACCUGGCAGUGGAGCAGUCUGUGACUCUGCCCUUCAGCAACCUGCAGGAGCUGUCUAGGCAGUCAGGCUGGGAUGCUGGAUGCAACAACAAUGACCUCUUCAAAGUGACAGCCUCAGUGGCUCCUUGGUUUUUUGCUCCCUGUGCUGAUAUACCAUCCACACUUCAGAGAGAGAGAGAGAGAGAGAGAGAGAGAGAGAGAGAGAGAGAGAGAGAGAGAGAGAGAGAGAGAGAGAGAGAGAGAGAGAGAGAGAGAGAGGGGGGUGGGGGGGGGGACAGGCAGGCAGGCAGGCCUUACAUAAUUAAGCAUUCUGUAAGUGAAAGAAACUCAAAUUAAUCAGUAAACACUAAUUUUCUAUGAACUUUUUAACAUUUUUUAUCAUUAUUAAUACAGCUGCUUUUGUUUCAUUUACACUAAAUAAAUAUGCUCUUUUCUCUAGAUUAUAUUAUAUAUAUUAAAAAAUUGAAUGGAAUAUAGAUACAUAAAAACAUUAAUAUAAAUAUCUCAGGCUGGCCAUGGGCCUCCACAGACCUCAAGGUGGUGUGUCACACCAACACUUUUUCCGUCAACUUUUUCCAUCGUUUUUCUGAAAAUCGUGGAUAUCUUGGCUGCGGCCUGUCGCACACAAAUGGUGUUUCAUCUGAAACUUUCCAUUGGCACAGCCCAAGGAGUGCAAACAAACAUGGAGUCCACACUGCAGCAAAGAUACGCUACUCUGAAACUAAUACUGUUUACUGUGAGACACAGUAUUGGAGGGCACAGGUGACAGUGUUGUGAGCCGCUCUUUUCAGGCCUUUCUUCAUACAAGAUUCAUCCUUGUGGUCCCAGAGGCACUUAUGGCUCCUUAUGCUUUCCACAAGGAUCUCCUCUGAACGGCGUGUCCAACUUGGAUGUGGUUUUCCUUCCAUGACGAAGCGUAGAGGUGGUAAUAACAUUCUGUGAGACAGGUUGAAGCCACACAGAAAGUCUUGGUCUUGGUCUUGGAAAUAUAAACAAAGGCGGAAAUUUGCAGGAGGAAACAAUCCUGAUCGUCUGACAAAUUCAUGCGAUAAGUUCAUGUGGAACGAUGAAAAACUGACGGAAAAAGUGCUAGUAUGACACCACCUUAAAUCCACCCCUGGAUUUGUGAGUUAAUUUUUUUUUCUUUUUUUUUCUUACUUGAGGGGCAUUGGCUUUGGGAGGGAAAAAAAAAAAGACCCACUUAUGUGCCAUUCCCUUAAGACCAAAAGGAUCAUCCAAAAUUGGAGGGUAAGUGCCUUGAAACUUUCCUCUUGAAAGAGUUCUAGUCAUAAGAAGGAGGAAAUAUAGAAGUAGGCAGAGUGUCCCAGAGUCUACCAAAAACUAACUGACUGUUAGGCUAAACUGUGUAAAAUACUGAUGUGACUACCGUCCUCUUUUUCUGUUUUUGCUGCUUCUCUGGAGUGAGGGGCUGGCACCAUGCACAAGUCUUCUUUGGUUGUGUCUGUCCCUUGCAUCUUCUUCUGUGACUCCCAUCCUUAGCAGCUCUAGCACAAUUCCAUCCUUCCAUCUCACUCACUCUUUACCUUGAUCUUCCUUCAACUGGCUUUCUCCAGGCCCUUUUGAUUAGUCCUUUAUCAAGAUUGCCUCCAAUAACCACCUAGGAUGUGAACAAUCUCAUAUCACCACAUCAGUCUGGCUAGAUUAUAACGUGCCUUCUCUUCUUCCCUGGGAGCAGCAAACCUGUGUGGGCUCCCAGACAGACUCCUCCAGAAUCAAGGAACUGCCAGUCCAGUACAUCACAGGAGGCAUUGCUAUUGGGCUGCAAAAAAAAAUCACCUUUAGGAAGUUAUUUGACCGCAGCCUUCAGAAGAGGCAGGAGUCAAGCCUGAUGAACAAGCUGAGGUCCAAUUGGCUAUCAGCAGGAACUUCAAUGUGUGGCAGGAAGACUAAAUUCACAGCCAGCCUCUCUGAUGUGGCUGCAAUCUUCAUCCUCUUGAUGGGUGGUGCAGCAUUUAGCUGUCUGCUGCUGCUGCUGCUGCUGCUGCUGGAGUAUGCAGUGGAUAAUGAUGCAUGUGUAAAACCAUGGCCCAUAUUCUGAAGCACUCUGCUCUCUCACUAUGACCAUUUUCAGAGUCCACAUAGAUGAUUAGCUGGGUUCUCAAGAAAGAUUUCUCCUGUUGAUAAAUUUGAAAUCUUGUUAAUUUGGCAUUAGACCUGCAUAAGUACCUCAACACACAUGUAACUUCAUCCAGAGCCUUUUAAAAGCAGUGGAAGUGAGGUUUAGUAGUGUUUCAGAACAUUACCCAACAUACCUAAAACUCAAAAGCAUAUGAACCGAGUGACAAUCUCACACAAGGAGGCCAAGGCAAAGUGCAUAACAUAACUUAAGAAUUGAAAGUCUCAUAUAUCCUGCCAUGUACAUAAGAGUAUAAUGGAAGCUGCAAGACUACACAAGGCAGGCAGUCCCUCUAUAAAGCAUAUUAACCACACUUACAGAUACAUGCAAGACAAAAGGUGGCAGACAAUAAGUUCUUGGGGUUUGCUGACCUGAAGGAACUGCAGAAAAUAACAAGAAACAAGACACCUACACUUUUUUUUUUCUGUACGAGGGACACUGGCCAGGGGCAAAAAAAAAAAAAAAAAAAAAAAAAAAAAAAAAAAAAAAAAAAAAAAGUGUCCGAAGCAGUAGUCAAAAAUUGAAGGAUAAGAGUCUUGAAACCCCUCUAUUGAAGGAGUUCAAGUCAUAGGAAAAUGGAAAUACAGAAGCAGGCAGGGAGUUCCAGUUUACCAGAGAAAGGGAUGAAUGAUUGAGAAUACUGGUUAACAUUUGCAUUAGAAAGGUGGACAGAACAGGAUUGAGAGAAAGAAGAAAGUCUUGUGCAGCGAGGCCACAGGAGGAGGGAAGGCAUGCAGUUAGCAAGAUCAGAAGAGCAGUUAGUAUGAAAAUAGUGGUAGAAGACAGCUAGAGAUGCAACAUUGCACUGAUGAGAGAGAGGCUGAAGACAGUCAGUUAGAGGAGAGAAGUUGAUGAGACAAAAAGCUUUUGAUUCCACCCUGUCUAAAAGAGCAGUAUGAGUGGGACCCCCCCCCCCCCCAGACAUGUGAAGUAUACUCCAUACAUGGACGGAUAAGGCCCUUGUACAGAGGUAGCAGCUGGGGGGGGUGAGAAAAACUGGCGGAGACAUUUCAGAACACGUAACUUCAUAGAAGCUGUUUUAGCUAGAGAUGAGAUGUGAAGUUUCCAGUUCAGAUUAUACGUAAAGGACAGACUGAGGAUGUUCAGUGUAAAAGAGGGGGACAGUUGAGUGUCACUGAAGAAGGGAUAGUUGUCUGGAAGGUUGUGUUGAGUUGAUAGAUAGAGGAAUUGAGUUUUUGAGGCAUUGAAUAAUAUCAAAUUUGCUCUGCCCCAAUCAGAAAUUUUAGAAAGCUCAGAAGUCAGGCAUUCUGUGGCUUCCCUGAAUGAAAUGUUUACUUCCUGAAGUGUUGGACGUCUAUGAAAAGAUGUGGAAAAGUGCAGGGUGGUAUCAUCAGCAUAGGAGUGGACAGGACAAGAAGCCUGGUUUAGAAAGUCAUUGAUGGAUAAUAAAAAGAGAGUGGGUGACAGGACAGAACCCUGUUAAUAGAUUUAGGAGAAGGAAUGGCCUAAGUUAAUGCUUAAGAAGUUUUGAAAAAGGAAAAAAGGUGACUGGGACGUGAGAUGUGAAUGCAAGUGAAUGGCAACGUGGGGAAAAAAAUAUAAAAUACCGUGAGCUGCUCUUUGCAAACACUUUAAAAAAGAAAAAAAAUUAUUUACCAUUCUACUGGAAAAGAAAAUACAAGACUAUAAAAGAAUGACUGAUUACAUGGCAGUGUGUGUGUGUGUGUGUGUGUGUGUGUGUGUGUGUGUGUGUAUGGAAAAGGCUUCAGAACUUAAUUUUCAAGAACAUUUUGAAAAGUUAUUGAAUCCAUCUAGUGAGCAACCGAUUGCCGAUAGUGUGUUAGAUGUUGAUGAUUUGGAAAAUAUGCCAUAUAUACCAAUUUUAGACGAUCCUUUUUCUAUGACUGAACUUGACGAUGCACUGAAUGUUACGAAGAACAAAAGUUAUAUAGGAUUAUGCCCGGCCAUGAUUAAGGUGUUUGAUGUAACAUGGAAGUUAUUUAUCUUGAAUGUGUUUAAUGUAGUGUUCACUCAAAUAUGUUACCCCCUGUUAUGGUGUUACAACAAGCUAAUUGUAUUAUUUAAGUCAGGUAAUCGUAUGAUUUGUGGUAAUUAUAGAGGAAUCACUAUAAUGGAUACUCUAGCUAAAGUUUAUGACACUAUGAUAUUGAAUAGAUUGAAAUUAUGGUGGAACAUCGACAAGUGUCAAGCGGGAGCACAAAAACAGAGAGGCUGUGUUGAACAGAUUACUGCUUUGAGGUUACUCUGUGACUAUGUUAUGUACAAGAAGAGAAAACUGUAUGUCCUGUUUAUAGAUUUUAGUAAGGCAUACGAUCGGGUCCCCAGAGGAAAACUUAUAGAUGCUUUAAAAGAGCGUGGAUGUGGUAAGGUAAUGAUUAGAGCCAUUAAAGCUAUGUAUACCUGUACUAGAAAUAUUAUGAAAUCUGCAAUCAUUGAAUCAUCUGUUGGUGUUCGUCAAAGGGCCCCGACCAGUUGUCUGCUUUUUACUUUGUAUAUUGACCAUAUGGUAAAGAUGCUGAAAAACGAAAUAGCAGCAGACGAUUUCUUAGGAAGUUUACAUACAAUGCUGUUAAUGGAUGACGCAGUGAUCGUUGCAACAAGUAGAGAAAUGUGUGAAAAGAAAAUGAACAUCGUGUUACAUUAUUGUAGUGAAUACGGAAUGCUUAUCAAUGAGAAGAAAACAAAAUUUUUUGUGGUAAACGGUGAUGAUAGAGACAAACAUGACUUAAAGGUGGGUGAGGUAGUAGUGAACUAUGCUGCCAGGUACUUGUACCUCGGUGCCUGGUUCACAGACACUGCCGGAAUGGACGAUGUACUUAACAUGCACCAAACAAUGAGUGAAGCGACACUAAACAAAUUUUCUAUUUUUUGUGCAGCAAAUACAUUAAUGCCAUUUAUAUUGAAGAAAAAGGUUUUUGAUGCUGCCGUGACGUCAGCCUUACUGUACAGUUGUGAGUCGUGGCUGACAAACAAGACUAAGAACUUAGAAAGACAAUACAACAGUUUAGUAAAGUGUUUAUUAGGUUUGAGAAAAAAUACCAGCAUAAAUUUAUGUAUGGUUGAAAGCGGCAUUUUACCUGUAAUAGAAUUAGUAAAGCGAAGGAGGAAAAACUUCUUAAAAUCUAAGUUGGAGGUCAUAGA